rnacentral:rRNA from 1 species
GACGAACGCUAGCGGCAGGCCUAACACAUGCAAGUCGAGGGGUAGAGUUCUUCGGGACUUGAGACCGGCGCACGGGUGCGUAACGCGUAUGCAAUCUACCUUAUACAGGGAUAGCCCAGAGAAAUUUGGAUUAAUGCCCCAUAGUGUUAUCGAAUCGCAUGGUUUGAUAACUAAAGUUCCAACGGUAUAAGAUGAGCAUGCGUCCCAUUAGUUAGUUGGUAAGGUAACGGCUUACCAAGACAAUGAUGGGUAGGGGUCCUGAGAGGGAGAUCCCCCACACUGGUACUGAGACACCGGACCAGACUCCUACGGGAGGCAGCAGUGAGGAAUAUUGGACAAUGGGCGCAAGCCUGAUCCAGCCAUGCCGCGUGCAGGAUGACGGUCCUAUGGAUUGUAAACUGCUUUUUAUACAGGAAGAAACACUUACUUCGUAGGAAGUAGCUUGACGGUACUGU